UAAAAACCCCGACUUCGGAAGGGGUGUAUUUAUUARAUACAAAACCAAUGCCCUUCGGGGCUCUUUGGUGAUUCAUGAUAACUAUACGAAUCGCACGGCCUUGCGCCGGCGAUGGUUCAUUCAAAUUUCUUCCCUAUCAACUUUCGAUGUUUGGGUAUUGGCCAAACAUGGUUGCAACGGGUAACGGAGGGUUAGGGCUCGACCCCGGAGAAGGAGCCUGAGAAACGGCUACUACAUCCAAGGAAGGCAGCAGGCGCGCAAAUUACCCAAUCCCGACUCGGGGAGGUAGUGACAAUAAAUACUGAUACAGGGCCCUUUCGGGCCUUGUAAUUGGAAUGAGUACAAUUUAAAUCCCUUAACGAGGAACAAUUGGAGGGCAAGUCUGGUGCCAGCAGCCGCGGUAAUUCCAGCUCCAAUAGCGUAUAUUAAAGUUGUUGUGGUUAAAAAGCUCGUAGUUGAACCUUGGGCCUGGCUGGCCGGUCCGCCUCACCGCGUGCACUGGUCCGGCCGGGCCUUUCCCUCUGUGGAACCCCAUACCCUUCACUGGGCGUGGCGGGGAAACAGGACAUUUACUUU
rnacentral:rRNA from 1 species